GACCUAAACCCAGAGAUUUCAAACAUUUUUGGGCAUGGACUACAAAACGAUUGCGCGUAUUAAGCUCCUAGUCAGAGCACGCGCAAUCGUCAUAUCUCGAAAGGGAUAUGGGUAAUCCCCUUCGGGAUUAUC
rnacentral:sRNA from 1 species